GUAUGAGCAGGUAUGCUGACAUCCAGCAAAGUACAGAAACAUAUUGCAAACAAGGAACAGUAUAUUAUAAUGUCUAAUUUUCCUCUUUCUGUAAACACGCAUAGGAAAUGAAUGCGAAUACACUUGUGGCCCAUAAAUGGUGUUGCCUUUUUCACAGAUAUACUGAAAAUUCUUACUGUCUGUUUGGGAUCUUGAAACAGAAGUCAAUUGCCAAUUGACUUAGGAAUCAUCGGAAAAACCCACACUUCAGAAAUGGCAAAAUACCUGGAACCCACGGUGCCUCUUAUCAGUUGUAUGGAACAGAGCUGGAAUAGUGUGAACCUACAUGCAAGAUGAGGAUCCCCCAGUGGCAUAGCGUGUUAAAGCACCAAGCUGCUGAACUUGCAGACCGAAAGGUCGCAGGUUCAAAUCCAGGGAGCGGAGUGAGUGCCUGCUGUUCGUUCCAGCUUCUGUCAACCUAGCAGUUCAAAAUCAAGGAAAUGUGAGUAGAUCAAUAGGUACCGCUCCAGCAGGAAGGUAACGGCGCUCCAUGUAGUCAUGCCGGCCACAUGACCUUGGAGGUGUCUACAGACAACACUGGCUCUUCGACUUAGAAAUGGAGAUGAGCACCAACCCCCAGAGUCGGACACGACUGGACUUAAUGUCAGGGGAAACCUUUACCUUACUAUAUGCAAGACAGGCAGAUGUGCCUUUUCACAUUUCUACCCAUGUCUUAAAGUAAGAAAGUGGUUAACAGCUGCCAAUAUUAUCUCAAUUGUAAUUGUGCAGAGACACACAGAAUGCCUGUGAAGAAUGCCAUGCCACCUGUAUCAUAUUUGCUUUCUCUGUUCAUUUUAAAGUGGAUUCCCCCCUCCCCCCAUUUGUGGCAUUUCUGGAAGUGUUCACAAACUUUCCUUCCUUCACAAAAUCUCUGGAUGGAGAGAAAAAGUAUUUUGAUUUACAGUUUAGGGCAUGAGGUGGGACUUCUACAGGGUCCCUGUUGCUUUUUCCUCAAGGUGAAUCCAACUGGAGCACAACAUGCCAAGCUGUUGAAGGAGGAUACAAUUCCCUAGGCCAGAAUCUGGCUUGUGAAACUGAGAUUAGGAGGACUCAUUUUUUCUCCCUCCAGCUAUUUUUAUCUGGCAGCAAGUAUGUAUAAAGAGGACAGAGCCUGCUAAAGCAGAAAAAUCCAAAUAAAAGAAUCCACUGAAACUUA